rnacentral:rRNA from 1 species
GUGGGGAAUUUUGGACAAUGGGCGCAAGCCUGAUCCAGCAAUGCCGCGUGCAGGAAGAAGGCCUUCGGGUUGUAAACUGCUUUUGUACGGAACGAAAAGGCUCUGGCUAAUACCUGGAGCUCAUGACGGUACCGUAAGAAUAAGCACCGGCUAACUACGUGCCAGCAGCCGCGGUAAUACGUAGGGUGCGAGCGUUAAUCGGAAUUACUGGGCGUAAAGCGUGCGCAGGCGGUUUUGUAAGACAGGCGUGAAAUCCCCGGGCUCAACCUGGGAAUGGCGCUUGUGACUGCAAAGCUGGAGUGCGGCAGAGGGGGAUGGAAUUCCGCGUGUAGCAGUGAAAUGCGUAGAUAUGCGGAGGAACACCGAUGGCGAAGGCAAUCCCCUGGGCCUGCACUGACGCUCAUGCACGAAAGCGUGGGGAGCAAUCAGGAUUAGAAACCCGUGUAGUCC